CAGGGUCCACACAAGACCAAAAUUGUCUCAUAAACUCUCCUAAAACACGGUUGUCACAACUAAUCACAAGCAUCUAAUAAGAGUAUAGAGAUCUGAAUUGAAUAGAAGGUCUGCCCGAAAAUGACGAAGAUACAAAGACAAAUAUAAAGAGUAGGGAAGAGGGACUCCAUGUGCCGCAAAUCAUAUCAAGUAAGCAGCUUAUCACGAAAUUUCCUAAAGGCACUCCUACUCUGCUAGGUGAAUACCUCCAAAACGAGUCGUCUUAGAAUCUGCACAAAAAUGUAUAGAAGUGUAAUAUGAGUACAAAACCACGGUAUUCAAUAAGUAUCUAAUCUAACAUCAAAGAAGUAGUUGCAAGCAGUCAAUAGUCGGACGUACUAACAUUUUAAUCCUCCGAUUUUGUGUGCUUUCAUUUCUGAAUUUGAAUGCACUCAAUUUAUGUAGCGGUGAAGUGACAAAUAUUUUUACUCAAAAUCGGAUGGAUCGAGGUAUUCUAAGAAACAAUGUAUCUUUAGUUACAACUUAAUGUCUCCAAGAUAUAUAAUUGAAAUGCUACUGAGUUUCUAUUCUUGUCUUUUUUCCUUAACUUUUAUUAUAGUAAUAUUUUGUGGUACUAUAUAAUCAUUUGAAUUCUUCUAUGUCUUGGGCUAAAAAAUAUAAAGUGCAUGAAUAAAAGUGAGUGUGGGCGUUGUUCCUGAAAGUCGCCAUGCAUAUAUAUCUCAACGUUUUACCCAAAUAAUAAUUUUGACAAUGAAAAUGUCAUAUGGACAUUCUAAGGGAUGAAUCAAGAAAACAUAUGUACGAGAGAAGUUAUAUGAUUUUAACAGUAACAAAUUCUCCAAGUCAUUACCCAAGAAGAAAGUAACAAUCAGGUUCUAACUUUAAAAGCAUGAAGUUCAUAAUUAAAAAACUAAAUAUUAAAAUAUCUUUCUUUUAUUUACCUAGAUAAUAUCUGAAGAGUUGCCACCAUUUUAUGUGACUGAUAUAGAUGUCUCUUAUGCUUCUACCACAUCCGUAGUAUAUUCAAAUUCUGUAUUUUCACAAGUCACUUUUUAACUUCUUUCACUAUUUCUUCACUUUAUGAAAAGACAUGCUUUCAUUUUCUAAGUACACAUCUUCAUGACUAAAGUCAAAAAAUUACAUUGCCUCUUAUAUUGUUGUUUUAUCUACGAUCGAUCAGUAUGGUAACCUUAUUGGGUUCAUCCACUGAUGAAAUAUCUGCAAAGCUUGUACGCAUGUGUUUUUUAAAUACAAUUAUUGAACUUUUUCCGAAUUUGUUUAUCAGAUAUUUUAAUAUUCAUUUACGUGCUCUUUUAAAUUUUGUGGUCAUAGUGCAUGUUUGACGUGCUCUUCUCAUUUUCAAAUGUUUGCUUUCUUUAACUUUGAUCUAUUUGCACUUCUAUUUUGGUUUGUUUCAAAGUUUCUCCAGUCGCGUUUCACUUUAUUAUGAAAUCUGCAAUAUUAUAUUUUUUUUAGUUUACCUUUAUUCUUUAUUUGCUUAUCGCUCUAUCUGUGUGUUAAUUUUUAUGUUCUUUUAUGUUGAUUUAUUGGUCGAUUUUGUACAACAAAAGGAGUAGCUGACAAGUUUAAUCAUCUUGUGGAGUUCUAGAAAAGUGUUGACGUCAUAGAUGGCAGUCUAAAUAAUUUCUCAAAAUUAAGAGUUCCGACACUUCUGUGCCAUACUUUUUGUUUUGUGGAAAUACAUUCUCCCACGAGUUAUUCAAUCUUUUUUUCUUCGAUAUGUGGAUUAAUUUCGCAUGAAAACAAAUCUCAUAAGAGAGAAUACAUGAGUCGGGAAUCAGGAUUGAAGAUAUAGACUCAUUAAUCAUUAAAUAUCAAGAAAAUAUUCUUUGAAUUUACAUAGUAAAUACAAGAUCAAGUUUAGUUUCUGCUACUGCAACAAUCUGCAUCCUAUAAAUAUUUCCUUGUUGAAUUUAAGUUGUCUUUAUCUGAGUUCCAUUUAGUUAAACAAAUAAACUGGGAGAGAAAGAAGAGCUCCUUGAUAUGAUAACUAUAUUGAGAAAAAAGGACCAUGAUCAUUUGACGAAGAUAUCAAGCUCUCGAAUCUUAUUGAUAAAAUAUGAUAUCAAGUAAUUUUUAAUAGUACAUAGGCAUACUUGGACUUUUUGUCAUAAUUAUAUCUUACUUGAUUACUUACAUUUCAUUUACUAGAUAAAGAAUGACUCAUUACACAAUUCAACCUUUCAUAAUCAGUAAUAAAAUUUGAACUCUAGCCAACACUUAUCUACGUAUAAAUAUGUGUAUAUGGUGAAGUUAAGAUUUUGACAUUGAAUGUACAUCAAACUAUAAAAAGGAGGUUUGACAUUUAGAAAAGAGAUUGGUCUUGAGAAGAUAAUUAUGUUGAGGCAGAAAUAAUAUUUGUGAUCGCUGAAGGUUAUAGAGAAGAUAAAAUUGAUCAAAGAAUAUUGCUUCCUGCAUUGCCUAUUGGAGCAAUCAAACCUCAAAACAGGGAUAUACCAAAGUUUAAUUGAAAGUGUGCAAUAGAGACAAAGUUGAUUGGAGAAUAUGCCUUUUGACUUUGUUCAUCAAAUGUCUUAAGGUUAGGCGAUAAUGCGGGUUUUUGGUAUAUUUAAAAUUUUAAUUUAUAACUAACUUAAAUAUUUUUUCGAAUAUGCAUGUAUAUUAUUAACUAUUUUUGGCAUAUAUGUUAUUUACUAAUUUGUGUAUUCUAUGACUCGGUAUACACGUGCAAUGCAUGUGCGGAGAAACUAGUAAUCAUAAGAGGCAUAAACAACAUAUGGGAAGUGAGCGGAGAAGUUAUACCUCAUUUUCUUUACCUUCACACUCAGAUUGAUGUUUUCUCUGAUGAAAACUAGAGAAGCAAAAUCAGAAGGCAGUGAUAAAAGCACAAGCAAGUCACCCAAGUAAAAGGAUCUUGUAUCUGAUCACUAUGGUAAGACAUCGCAAUCAAACAGUACUUUCUAGAUGAAACACAAAAAUAACAAUAUGGCAACAACGAGGACCAUUUUGGUAUUGUUGUUCGACAUUUCUUUUACCCUUAUGACAUGCUUUUUAAGUAAAUCUUCUAUUUUUAUCUUUAACUCUGUGCCCUAUGAAUUAGUGUUAUGUAAAAAUGAAACGGAAGGAAUAUCAAUUUAGAAUGCAAUGAGACUAUAAUUGGUCGUUGAUACUGGUGCUUUAUAAUAUGUCUAUGCCAAGGAAGGAUCGGAACUUCUCUUCGUUAAUUCGUUAUUACUUUGAGAAUUCAGUUUAUAUUUGAGAAUAUGCUACUCCAUGUUCCAUUUUCAAAAACCAGUCCACAUCCAGAAGAAAGGCUAUAAUACUUGUCGCGCCCCAUUUUUUCGUGAAAGCGGGCUUCGACAUGUGACAACUCUUUUAAAAUGGGUAUUAAAAGAGAAGAGUCGUCACCUAACAAUUUUUAAGGUGCGUUAGGGGCACCUAUUUACAAGUAACUCUGUUUGACUAGUCAACGCCACCAAAGAUCGGGUAAGGGCUCAAAGUACCUUGGAGAGAAGGUGUUAGGCACUCUUCGAAAUCCACAACUGUGGGUCCAGGACAAAUUUUAAACUAAGUGGGAUGAAUGAAAACUAAAUUGCAAGUUAAUAAUUUAUAUUAAAUGAUGUGAGUCGUCUAUUAAUUAUUCUAAGUGAGAUAGGCAUGAAAAAGGAGAAAGAACAACUUCUAGCAAUAGGUAAAAGAAAGGAAGUUUUGUAUAAAAUGAAUCGCACAUAAAGCUGUAUGAGAAUAGUCAUUUAAAAAAUAUAUUAAGGGGUAAGAGGAAAUUUGGGCGAAAGCGAAAACGAGUUUUUAUUACUAAUAAAAAUAACCUUUACAUAGAAACAAUACAGAUUCAAGUAAUAGUAUAAAACUAUUGGAUACAAAAAGUAAAGCGUAACUAAUCCAGCAACAAACAUGAAUAUGAAUAAAUAGAGUAUGGCAUGAUUAUUUAGUAAAAGGGGAGCCUAAGUUUUUACACCUAAUGGAUCAACUCCCGUGCAAAGCUUGCUAAGACUUUUAUAGCCAAAAGUGUAAUGGCUAUUCAGGCAAUUUGUGUAUCAUGUCUGCUACCCUCAUUACUAUCUUUAAGUUGUUAACCUAAAAGCGCACUAAUCAAUUCUAAAUCACGUCUUAAUUCAAAACUACCCAUCCCUUCCUAUAGUCCAUGAGGCUUUGGACACUAUUCUAAAGAGAUGGUUCUAGACUUAAGAAAAAUCUCAUGUUUCUAUUUCUAUUCUUAUUAGCAUCACAUAAAAGGAGCACAUUGGGACUUACACAAGUAACACAUAAGGCAAGUAAGGGCUCAUGUUGGCCUCCGAAUUAAUUAAGUAAUUGUUAAUGUAGUAAAAAAUGGUCAAGUGUACUCUAAAAUAUGAUAAGUCUUCUUGAAUAAUACCCAUGAUAUAAGCAUACAUAUAAAGAAGUGAUUAGAUCUAAAGAAGUAAAAAAUAUGAAGCAAACGUUGGGCUAAAUUAAAACGAAUUUCUGAAUUAAUUAAAAGGAACAGAAAAAAAAGUGAAGGCUUAGAAGCUUCGGUCAAAGACAAAUGACAGUCUUUAUCUUUUAAAGUGAGCCCAACAUACUAGUAAGAAAACGUUACUAAGGACUAAGACACCACAAAAAGCUCAAAUGCAAAAGCUAUCCAAUUUAACGUGUUAACAUGUUUUCAAGAAGAAAUGAAAGCAAAUAACAGCAGGUAAUCACAUAGAACACAAGCAUGAAAUAUCCCUUAUCCCAAGUAGCCCCAUUUCACUAUUACAUUCAGUUAUUACAUGCUAUCUGAAUAGAGCUUAUAACUAGAGCCUAGGAAAUUAACUAACUGAACUUCAAACUUUGGCAGACUUCUCGUAGACUCUUAUGAGCUUUCCUAAUCCCCCUUCUGAAGAGUUGAACUUUGGCCAAAACUAUCAAGUCUAGGCCCCUGCAACCGAACAGAAGCAACAAACGCACAAAGAAAGCAGACAACUUGGACUAUUUUCCAAAGAAACAACUUUGUUAUUAUUAGUUAAAGCAUUAUCUUCUAAACACAUAAUCUAUAGGUGAAUAUGUCCAAGUUAAACCAAGUCAAGGAAAAAAACAACACUAGAAACUUCAAAUUUGACACAGAAGCAUGAAUGAAUGGCGUAGGUCCUAAAAAUAUGAUAUUUAAGUGAUUGAAUUGAACUCAAACAUCCCAGCUUGUAGUAUUCAAUAGCAAAUAAGUUUUGUUAAGCAUAAAGUCAUGAUAUAAAAAUGAUCAAAAUCCUAAUAACAUGGUAGCUAUUUAGGAUAAGUCUAACAGUGAGAAAAUAGGCAAAUACAAGUCAUGACUUUCAAGCAAGAAAAAUCCUGGAGUUCAUUGUUAAGCAUUGAAAUCCCAAGCAUUAGACAUCAAGCUAACUUCCUUAGGUCUAGACAAUGGUUAUUAGGUGAUCGACAUGAUCACACUAUCUCAUUCAAGGAUAUUGCAAGACGUGAUGUCAAUUCAAAUUCAUAUAGUUAGACCUAAGAGGUGACUUCUAAUGUAUAGCGAAUCAGAGAACCAUACGGGAGGCACAACACAUAGCGAUUAAGUGACGUACCUGGUUAUUAACUUGGCAUGCUCGAAAUGGAAUGUCGCACAACAUUCAGCAUGUCCAAGUGCAAAUACAACGCGCAAAUAGAAUAAAAUACAUGAAAAUUUUAAGAGAGCAGAGGACAAAAAAACUAGUCUAUUCUACCAUAUAAUUAACACAUAAAGAAAUUAUGAUGCGUCGUUCAGGGAACUAACCAGUUGGAGAGCGGAAUAACAAUAUAAUAUGAAGAUUAAAAAUCCAGUAACUUCAACAGCAACAAAUAAGCCAGAUACUCUCCAAAGUAUGCAGUAAUACGUGCGAAAAUUCAAACAGCAAUAAGGAGAAACCAAUACUCGAACUCGAUACAUCCAGAUUGUAUCAAACUAAUUAAAAAAACCAAGCCUUGCCUUGGCUUAUGGUCGGCAAAGCAUAGAAGUAGCGAAAAGAAAAAAAACUAGCAGUGAAGCAGAGGUCAAAGCAGUGAUCAAAAGCCAGUUCUCUGAAGCGUGUAAUUGUGAGCUAUAUACAGAUGUAAGGUAUGGAAGUAUAAUAUGUGAGUUGCAGCGAUAAACAAAGCCUCUCCCACUAAACAAUNNNN
rnacentral:lncRNA from 1 species